UGUCGGACCAACCCCCAAAAAAAUUGAGGAAAGUUGUUUUCAACAUGGACGAUUUUGGUGGACUUUAAUAUUGACGGAGUGAAUGAAUCAUUAAGGGCGUUUCCAAAUAUUUUUAACACAGUAAUCAAGGCUAUCGAGUUGCUGGAAGAUACACAACCGCCUGAAAAAGCACUUGGGCUAGCGUUAUCAUGCAUUAAAAAUAUAUAUAGUAAAAAAAAUAUAAAAACAAAGAAUAAAUACUAAAAUUAUAUGAUAAAGGG